GGGGCGUUCGUCUAGCGGUUAGGACACUGGCCUCUCACGUCGGAAACACGGGUUCGAUUCCCGUACGCCCUACCA
rnacentral:tRNA from 1 species